GGUCAAUGAUGAUUGGUAAAAGGUCUGAUUGCACUGAAUGUCACAGCUCCUUCCUUGCACUCUACUCCCAGCAGCCCCUUCCCCCCCCCCCCCCCCUAGCACAUUGAGGUCGUGCGUGGGAGAGUGGGGCAGCUGAUAAUUUAGGAUUCUGUCAGUGUGUGUUCCAAGAGUGAGUGGUUCACAGCUGACUGCUGUCCAACAGAACCCAUCAUACAGGAGUCUUGAUGAGUGGCAGGAUGGAUGUGAUAGUGCAUGAUCUCAAGUUUUCAAUCUGAGACC